rnacentral:rRNA from 1 species
UACGUAGGCCCCAAGCGUUAUCCGGAAUUACUGGGCGUAAAGCGUUCGUAGGCGGCAUGGAAAGUCAGAUGUGAAAGACCGGGGCUUAACCCCGUGUUUGCAUCCGAAACUUCCAAGCUAGAAUGAGGGAGAGGUAAGCGGAACGGUAUGAGUAGGGGUGCAAUCCGUUGAUACAUACCAGAACACCAAAAGCGAAGGCAGCUUACUGGAACUCUAUUGACGCUGAGGAACGAAAGCGUGGGGAGCGAAAAGG